AUUGAACGCUGGCGGCAUGCCUUACACAUGCAAGUCGAACGGCAGCACGGGUGCUUGCACCUGGUGGCGAGUGGCGAACGGGUGAGUAAUACAUCGGAACAUGUCCUGUAGUGGGGGAUAGCCCGGCGAAAGCCGGAGUAAUACCGCAUACGAUCUACGGAUGACAGCGGGGGACCUUCGGGCCUCGCGCUAUAGGGUUGGCCGAUAGCUGAUUAGCUAGUUGGUGGGGUAAAGGCCUACCAAGGCGACGAUCAGUAGCUGGUCUGAGAGGACGACCAGCCACACUGGGACUGAGACACGGCCCAGACUCCUACGGGAGGCAGCAGUGGGGAAUUUUGGACAAUGGGCGAAAGCAUGAUACAGCAAUGCCGCGUGUGUGAAGAAGGCCUUCGGGUUGUAAAGCACUUUUGUCCGGAAAGAAAUCCUUGGCUCUAAUACAGUCGGGGGAUGACGGUACCGGAAGAAUAAGCACCGGCUAACUACGUG
rnacentral:rRNA from 1 species